rnacentral:misc_RNA from 1 species
GAUGAAGAACGCAGUGAAAUGCGAUAAGUAAUGUGAAUUGCAGAAUUCAGUGAAUCAUCGAAUCUUUGAACGCACCUUGCACCCUUUGGCAUUCCGAAGGGUAUGCUCGUUUGAGUGUCAUUGUACUCUCACACUUCCAAUCUUUGGAUUGGGAGCAGUGGACUUGGGUGUUGCUGCUUACUGUGGCUCACCUCAAAUCGAUUCGUGCACCUCUUGGUUGGACAUAGUACGGCGUGAUAAGUGUCUUCGCCGGCACCUCAGUAGAGGGUGGCUGAUCAGGAGCUCUGUGCUUCAAACCGUCCUCGGACAAAAACUGACAACUUGACCUCAAAUCGAGUAGGACUACCCGCUGAACUUAAGCAUAUCAAUAAGCGGAGGA